rnacentral:rRNA from 1 species
UACGUAGGGUGCGAGCGUUGUCCGGAAUUAUUGGGCGUAAAGGGCUCGUAGGCGGUUUGUCGCGUCGGGAGUGAAAUCCAUCAGCUUAACUGGUGGUCUGCUUCCGGUACGGGCAGACUGGAGGCAUGCAGGGGAGAACGGAAUUCCUGGUGUAGCGGUGAAAUGCGCAGAUAUCAGGAGGAACACCGGUGGCGAAGGCGGUUCUCUGGGCAUGUCCUGACGCUGAGGAGCGAAAGUGUGGGGAGCGAACAGGAUUAGAUACCCUGGUAGUCCACACCGUAAACGUUGGGCGCUAGGUGUGGGGUCCAUGUAUGGGUUCCGUGCCGUAGCUAACGCAUUAAGCGCCCCGCCUGGGGAGUACGGCCGCAAGGCUAAA